GCGGUCGCUAGGGUCGCUAGGGUCAAUACUGAGGCGUGGAAUGAGGAAGAAUCGCAGUAACUCAAGCUGAGCGGUCGCUAGGGUCGCUAGGCGCAGGCGCUAAACCGAGCUGAGUACGACGCGUGGGUGGCGCCUACCGGCUGCAACUCAACUAAACAGAACCCGUCGCAUGGGUCAAUACUGAGGCGUGGAAUGAGGAAGAAUCGCAGUAACUCAAGCUGAGCGGUCGGUAGGGUCGCUAGGCGCAGGCGCUAAACCGAGCUGAGUACGACGCGUGGGUGGCGCCUACCGGCUGCAACUCAACUAAACAGAACCCGUCGCAUGGGUCAAUACUGAGGCGUGGAAUGAGGAAGAAUCGCAGUAACUCAAGCUGAGCGGUCGGUAGGGUCGCUAGGCGCAGGCGCUAAACCGAGCUGAGUACGACGCGUGGGUAGCGCCUACCGGCUGCAACUCAACUAAACAGAACCCGUCGCAUGGGUCAAUACUGAGGCGUGGAAUGAGGAAGAAUCGCAGUAACUCAAGCUGAGCGGUCGCUAGGGUCGCUAGGGUCAAUACUGAGGCGUGGAAUGAGGAAGAAUCGCAGUAACUCAGCCGAGCGGUCGCUAGGGUCGCUAGAUGCAGUAGAACGAAGAAGAAGCUGGCAACUUGAAUGCAAGUGUGCAUUAGAUGGCGCCACCAUAGCUUUGCCCGGACAAGAGUUUUGCUCUAUGAGAUUUGACUUCUAAUAUUAAAAUACUUGGACCGAUUCAGGGAGAAGAACGCGCUUUAUCAGCACACUCACGCUCCUUUGAAAGCAAAAGCAUAAUAUUAUUGUUAAUGUAUUUUUUUUUCUAGUAUGUAACUUGUAACGUAAUGUAACGUGUGUUGUCAUGUAACUACUGAAUUUUUGAUUGACAAAUAAGUUAUCAGUUAGUUAGUUGUAUUAGGUAAUUAAUUUAAUUGAAAUUGUGCACACAUGCUCCCGCAAUUUGGCAAUAUCAACAACGUUUAUUAAAGUUUUUCGAAUGCAUAUCGCAAAUGUCAGAAUAUUCUGUUCAUAAAAGUUAUGGAUUGUCAUGCCUUUUUCCAAUGACCCUUAUUUAGGGUAAAGUAACACCAAACAAAGUAUUUGUGAGACAGUUUAACCUUUUGGCCGCCAGAGACUUAAACGGAAAAUCGUGACCACGACGCCACUUUUAUGUUAGCAUAAUUUCUUUACCCAUCCUUAAUUUACCCCCGUGGCGUCAGUGGCACGGUUUUCCGUUGACGUCAUUUGCUGUAUUUGGCGUUCAAAAGGUUAAAAACAUAAAAUUUACCAUAAAUUAAGACCCAUAAAAUUGUAAACAUCUGCGGCGAUUUAUGAUGAUUGUGUUAACUAAACGUAACAUAAGCAUUUGUAAAUGUAAUCAAUUUUAGCAUAUUACUUACCAAAACUCACCUGUGCUAUUCCAUUUCCCUGUUAUCCCCAAUCGUGCUGGUAGCAGCGAAGUGCAAUGCUUUCUACCUUUCCCCAAAAUCUCAGUCCUGCGAGUGCGAGGUGCAAAAUGUAAGUAUUUAUCAAAAAGGGACGGCUGUUUCGCAGGCUAGAUAAUGUUUCCUCCUCUCUUGUACUAGGCCGACUAGUACUCCGAUGCGCCUAUCUCCUCCUUCCUUAUAUCCGUAGCUAGUUAUCAGAAAAAUAAAAAAUAAAUCAUCCGUUUGUUUUUCUUAUGCAACAGGCGUUUAAAGGAGGUCAAAAAAGACAAGUGGCGUGGGUAACAAUUUGAGGCGAAGUAUUUUUUGACUCAGUUAAACAC
rnacentral:lncRNA from 1 species